UCACUUUUCUAAGUACUAGUGCCGCAGGAGAUGGUUAUUUUUAAAAGACCUCCUGCUGCCCAAGUGCUUAUCAAAGAGG
rfam:Stomoxys calcitrans breed 8C7A2A5H3J4 unplaced genomic scaffold Scaffold974, whole genome shotgun sequence.